rnacentral:rRNA from 1 species
GCAUGCCUUACACAUGCAAGUCGAACGGUAGAGUAGCAAUACUUGAGAGUGGCGAACGGGUGAGUAAUACAUCGGAACAUGCCCAACUGUGGGGGAUAACGUAGCGAAAGUUACGCUAAUACCGCAUACGAUCUACGGAUGAAAGCGGGGGAUUCGCAAGAACCUCGCGCAGUUGGAGUGGCUGAUGUCAGAUUAGCUAGUUGGUAGGGUAAAAGCCUACCAAGGCAACGAUCUGUAGCUGGUCUGAGAGGACGACCAGCCACACUGGGACUGAGACACGGCCCAGACUCCUACGGGAGGCAGCAGUGGGGAAUUUUGGACAAUGGACGAAAGUCUGAUCCAGCAAUGCCGCGUGCAGGACGAAGGCCUUCGGGUUGUAAACUGCUUUUGUACGGAACGAAAAAGUCUCUAUUAAUACUAGGGGCUUAUGACGGUACCGUAAGAAUAAGCACCGGCUAACUACGUGCCAGCAGCCGCGGUAAUACGUAGGGUGCGAGCGUUAAUCGGAAUUACUGGGCGUAAAGCGUCCGCAGGCGGUUCUAUAAGACAGAUGUGAAAUCCCCGGGCUCAACCUGGGAACUGCAUUUGUGACUGUAGAGCUAGAGUA